AUUGCUGUAUUGAGCUGCUCAUCAGUCAGUUUCAUUUCUGUCUUCAGAUCAUCAAUUGUGAGCUCUGAAGAUAGAUAAGCAAGCACACAAGAGACAAAACCUGGCUCCAUUGCUAAAGUAUUACAGCAUUCUCCGAAUGGAAAGAGGUUUGAGGCUGAGAAUGCUGCCCUGUCAGUAAUGAACCCGACGUAUUCAAGUAAGAAAUGUGAUUACCGUAAGACCUUUAAUUAAAGCGACACUUUUUUUAACUAAUUACGAAGCCAGAUGUCGCUUCUUUUGGAGGUUGAACAAUUAUGUUAAAAACCUGAUGUCGUAUCUGAUUAUGGAUAGCUCUACUCAGUCUAUACUUGCCUCAAUUUCUAGAACGUGUUUUCCAAAAACGAUGCUAGGGUGUGGCUAUAUUUACAUCAUUUAGGACGCGACAUUAAAACAUAAUUGUCAACGUAGCUGUCGUAGAAGUCAGAAAAUUACCUAAGCUCGAGAGUGUCGCAUAUUUGGAGGGUCACCUUAAUUAGAGGUCUUACAGUACCAGAACUGCAGAGUUGAGUUUUUGCACUCUCUGAUUGCCGUGUAUUAAGUGUGCACCUCUGGAGAAUUAGCUUUGGUCCAAUAAUUAUAGGAAACAGAAGUUGCAUUUCCUGCCAUAAUUAUGUAUCUCCAAAGCGGUCAAAGUUCACAAUGGCUGCUGCUAGGCAGCACAGCUUUUGUUGCACUUUUAUGACUAAUAAUCAAUA